rnacentral:tRNA from 1 species
GCCCGAGUGGCGGAACGGUAGACGCGGUGGCCUCAAAAGCCAUUGUCGAAAGACGUGUGGGUUCGAGUCCCACCUUGGGCACCA